rnacentral:rRNA from 1 species
GACGAGGGGUGCAAACGUUAUUCGGAAUGAUUGGGCGUAAAGGGUGCGCAGGCGGUAUGCUAAGUCAACUGUUAAAUUCCUCAGCCUAACUGAGGGUCAGCGGUAGAUACUGGUAUGCUUGAGAGUGGUAGAGAGAAGUGGAAUUCUCGGAGUAGCGGUAAAAUGCGUAGAUCUCGAGAGGAACACCGAUGGCGAAGGCAGCUUCUUAGGCCAUUUCUGACGCUCAUGCACGAAAGCGCGGGGAGCAAACAGG